GUUCCGAUGGUACAUUUAGUAAAAUUUGGACAAUGCAGAGAAUAUGUGCAUAGCCUCGGAGCAGAGAUGACACGCUAAGUAGUGGAGCUUCCCACAUUUAU
rnacentral:snRNA from 1 species